rnacentral:lncRNA from 1 species
CUCGACACAAGGAACUUUUGGGAGGCAUAUUAGAUCUAAACCACAACAUGUCCUAUGUAGUUUUAAAAGUGUCUUCUUUUGACUUUAUUUUUGGCACUAUUUUCCUUUAGGCCUGCAGAAUUUGUCACCUUAACUACUGUAAUAACAUAUGGACUGAUCUUUCUGCCAUAGUUUUGUUCCUUUCCACUUUAUACUAGUUAAACUUCUGCCAAGGGGAACUCCUAAAAAAUGAAAGACGCAUGAAACCAUUCAGUUUUGCCUAUAUCCUCAGGAUGUAGCCCAGACACUCCAGCAUAGCUCACUGCUGUCUCAUCUUACUUUUGCCAUUUCUCUACCAUAAGCAUUUUAUUCCAGUCAUACCUAAGCACUUGAGAAGCCCUAAGCAUCUGUUAUGUUUAAUAUGAAGUUUCCCUCAAAGACACAUGUAUUGUGGGUGGUAAUCUCAUCAAUGGAUUAACUCAUUGAUGAGUUCAUAGCUGAUUAGGCUAUUAGGAGGUAGGGGUCCACUGGAGGAAGAUCUGUAUCCUUGGAUUCAACCAACCUGGAAAGCCCAGAUGAGGACAGAGAGGUAACAUAAAAAGCAACAGGGUUGAGAGACACACAGACAUGGAUUUGAAUCCAUGUAUGGACAUUCACCAGCCACUACCUCAGGCAGCUCCAGUCUUCACUUUUACCUUGGACAUUGUCUCCUGGCUUCCAGCACAGACCCUUCAGCCCUCCAGUGCAGAAUCUUUGGCCUCCUGAUGUGGACUUGCAUGGGAC